rnacentral:rRNA from 1 species
GAUGAACGCUGGCGGCGUGCCUAAUACAUGCAAGUCGAGCGAACAGACGAGGAGCUUGCUCCUCUGACGUUAGCGGCGGACGGGUGAGUAACACGUGGAUAACCUACCUAUAAGACUGGGAUCACUUCGGGACACCGGAGCUAAUACCGGAUAAUAUAUUGAACCGCAUGGUUCAAUAGUGAAAGACGGUUUUGCUGUCACUUAUAGAUGGAUCCGCGCCGCAUUAGCUAGUUGGUAAGGUAACGGCUUACCAAGGCAACGAUGCGUAGCCGAGCUGAGAGGGUGAUCGGCCACACUGGAACUGGGACACGGUCCAGACUCCUACGGGAGGCAGCAGUAGGGAAUCUUCCGCAAUGGGGGAAAGCCUGACGGAGCAACGGCGCGUGAGUGAUGAAGGCCUUCGGAUCGUAAAACUCUGUUAUUAGGGAAGAACAGAUGUGGAAGUAACUAAGCACGGCUUGACGGUACCUAAUCAGAAAGCCACGGCUAACUACGUG